rnacentral:rRNA from 1 species
UUAAUGGAGAGUUUGAUCCUGGCUCAGGACGAACGCUGGCGGCGUGCCUAAUACAUGCAAGUCGAGCGGAGUUUUCGCGGACGGAAGCCUUCGGGUGGAUGUUGCGA